UGGCUGAGGAAGAGGCUGACUGCAUCUUUCACACACCACAACCCCCGGGUCCGCCUGCCUGCAGCAGCAGGCAAGGGAAACUGUGACUCAGCUUCUUCCAGCUCCAGAGGAGCUUGCUGCUGGGCAUACUGGGUUAUCUGAGGUCUCCAUCUAACUCCAUUUACCCUCUCACUGUGCUUCCCCAGCUGGGGCAAAGGAAAUCCAGUCUCUCCAGAUUUCCACAGUGCAGCCAAUAUUGUUCUGGAAGAUGUCUUCUUGAGGUAGAAGCAGUGCAGGUUGGCCUGAAGCCCAACUCCCUGCUUCUUCCCGUCAAGUGCUGAGGUUCCAGAUGUGGACCGCCACGCUCAGCUCGGACUUUCCUUCGGGGUUGGAAAGCACAGGACCAGCUUUCUGCCCUGAUGACAGAGAAGCGCGAAGCGCGGUCCCGAAAGGCUUGGCCGGCCUUCCUUUCAUCUUCCGCGCGCUCCUUCCCCGUGGCUUCCCAGGGCUUUUUCAGGAGAGUUGGCCUUGGAAGAGUGUCGUUCAGGGAACACAAACACUUAAACAAAACAAC
rnacentral:lncRNA from 1 species